UUUGGGAAAGGGUUAGAGAGGCAAGCUGGGUUUUUGAUGUUGGCUUGUUGUGGAUGCAAAAGGGGCAGAAGUGUUGGUGAUUUAAGGAGACCUAGAGCCCUGGACUGCAGCCCUUGAGAACCAGCGAUGGAGACAGUUAUGAUGAAUGGCUUUUAUUCUCACGGUAAUCGCAUGACGGGUAACAAUCAAAUGGAAAUCCCCUCCUCCCAGGAACAGAAACUUUGACCUCACCCCUCCAGGAGUAAUCUCUAUCUUUGCCCAAAAGGGGGUCACCUCUUCAUUAAGUCUGCCCGUCAUACGAAUUAUUUACAAGUGGAAAUUACUGCUGUUGUUUCUCUUUAGAAUGUGUGACUUAACAUGUUCUAAGUGGUCUGGAAAGCUGAAAUAGUAAAUUGAAUCUAUUGUAUUCUUUACUAGGUGGCUGAUGUACUGUAGGUUAAAAAUCUAUCAAGCUAAAUUUGCAUCCGAUAUCAUGCCUUCUACAUCUAA